UUGUCCCAAAAACUCCGAAAAUUGCCCCAAAAACUCUGAAAAUUGUCCCGAAAAUCCCGAAAAUUGUCCCAAAAAUCCCCAAAGUUGCCCCAAAAUCCCUCCCGGGACCGGCCCCGGGGCCCCCUCGGGGCCUGAGCCCGAAAUUCCCCAAAUUUGCCCCAAAACCGCCCCAAACCGGCCCGAGCAGGAGCCCGGGAGCGACCCCGAGAGCGGUCUCCUGGUGCUCACGGUGGCCACCGAGGUGACCGAUGGCUACCGGCGCUUCCUGCGCUCCGCCCGCGCCUUCAACUACAGCGUGCAGACUCUGGGCCUGGGCCGGCGCUGGCGCGGGGAGGGGAC